rnacentral:rRNA from 1 species
UACAGAGGUCUCAAGCGUUGUUCGGAUUCAUUGUGCGUAAAGGGUGCGUAGGCGGCGCGGUAAGUCGGGUGUGAAAUCUCGGGGCUUAACUCCGAAACUGCAUUCGAUACUGCCGUGCUUGAGGACUGGAGAGGAGACUGGAAUUUACGGUGUAGCGGUGAAAUGCGUAGAUAUCGUAAGGAAGACCAGUGGCGAAGGCGGGUCUCUGGACAGUUCCUGACGCUGAGGCACGAAGGCCAGGGGAGCAAACAGG